UUGUUCUGCUGCAAACUUUAAACAAUAGGAAAUGUCGCUUUUUUGUUUUUCAUAAUGCAGAGCACCAUCUGGAUUAGCAUGAAAUGCAUCUGAAAAAUUGCAUGGAGCCGGACAUAAUUCCCAAUAAGAACAGAUACAUCAAAUUGAAGCAGGAAAUGACGGCAUCGAUGGAGAACCUGAGGUUGCUCAGCCCAACCCGAAGGCAAGGAUUGUUAUUGACAAGUCUGUGUGCUUACAGUCUCCRGAAGAGUUGGGAGUGGCAAAACAGGUUUAGUUUUGAAAGAACAAGUCACAUCCUUUUGGCAGGACAAGGUAA
rnacentral:lncRNA from 1 species